rnacentral:rRNA from 1 species
CAAAAACAUUUCCUUCUAGUUUAGAAGGUAAGGCCUGCUCACUGAAAUUUAAAGAGCCGCAGUAUCCUAACUGUGCUAAGGUAGCAUAAUCAUUAGUCUUUUAAUUGGAGACUGGUAUGAAUGGCUAAACGAGAAAUUGACUUUUUUUGUUAUAAAAAUUGAAUUUAAUUUUUUAGUGAAAAAGCUAAAAUUUUUCAGAAAGACGAGAAGACCCUGUAGAGUUUUAUAUUUAAAGGUAUAUUUUCUAAUUAGAUUUUCAUAGAUUAUAUAUUACAGAAUAUUUUGUUGGGGCGACAUUAAGAUAUAAAAAACUCUUUAUUUUUUAAAUUUUUAUAAAAAACCUUUUUGAUCCUCUAAAAGAGAUCAAAAGAAAAAAUUACCUUAGGGAUAACAGCGUAAUCUUUUUUGAGAGUUCUAAUCGACAAAAAGGUUUGCGACCUCGAUGUUGGACUAAAAUUUAGGCAGGGUGCAGCAGUUCUGCUUUAAGGUCUGUUCGACCUAUAAUAUUUUACAUGAUCUGAGU